rnacentral:sRNA from 1 species
CUUUAGCUAACAAGAACCUAAAUCAUCU